rnacentral:rRNA from 1 species
AGAGUUUGAUCCUGGCUCAGGACGAACGCUGGCGGCGUGCCUAACACAUGCAAGUCGGACGGUCUUCUGUUGAAAGCUUACUGGAUGCAGGAGAUAGUGGCGGACGGGUGAGUAACGCGUGAAUACCUGUCCAUCGGAGGGGGACAACGGCUGGAAACGGCCGCUAAUACCGCGUAAGCCGGAAGGUGAAAGGCCACGGUAGUGGUUGCCGAUGGGGGGGUUCGCGUCCUAUCAGCUGGUUGGUGGGGUAAGGGCCUACCAAGGCUAAGACGGGUAGCCGGUCUGAGAGGGUGAUCGGCCACACUGGAACUGAGAUACGGUCCAGACUCCUACGGGAGGCAGCAGUGGGGAAUAUUGGGCAAUGGGGGGAACCCUGACCCAGCGACGCCGCGUGAGGGAAGAAGGUUUUCGGAUCGUAAACCUCCGUUGUACGGGAAGAAGGAAGUGACGGUACCGUACGAGGAAGCCCCGGCAAACUACGUGCCAACAGCCGCGGGAACACGUAGGGGGCGAGCGUUGUCCGGAAUUACUGGGCGUAAAGGGCGCGCAGGCUGUUAUGCGAGUCUGCUGUGAAAUGUACCGGGCUCAACCGGUUGAAAUGCGCGCGGAUACUUGCAUACCUGGAGUACUGGGAGAAGGAAGUUGGAAUUCCCCAGAGUGUAACGGUGAAAUGGCGUAGAUAUCGGGUAGGGAACACCUGGGGGCGAAAGGCGGCUUUUCCUGGCCACGUUACGUGGACGCCUUCACGCGCGCCCCAAAGCGGGGGGGUAUGCGGAGACGCGAGGAUUAUGAUACACCGGCGGUAGUCCCAGCCGUAAACGAUGAAUGCUAGGUGUGGGUGUCGCAGGGCAUCCGUGCCGCAGCUAACGCGAUAAGCUUCCGCCUGGGAGUACGUCGCAGAUUGAAACUCAAAGGAAUUGACGGGGGCCCGCACAAGCGGUGGAGCACGUGGUUUAAUUCGAUGCAAACCGAAGAACCUUACCUGGGUUUGACAUGUACGUGUUACUGAGGUGAAAGCUGAGGGACCACAUUUUCGGAUGGGGAGCGUACACAGGUGCUGCAUGGCUGUCGUCAGCUCGUGUCGUGAGAUGUUGGGUUAAGUCCCGCAACGAGCGCAACCCCUGCAUUCAGUUGCCAUCGGUGAGGCCGGGCACUCUGGAUGGACUGCCGGCGACAAGCCGGAGGAGGGUGGGGAUGACGUCAAGUCAUCAUGGCCCUUAUGUCCAGGGCGACACACGUGCUACAAUGGCCGGCACAGCGGGAAGCGAAGGGGUGACUCUGAGCGGAUCCCUUAAAGCCGGUCCCAGUUCGGAUUGCAGUCUGCAACUCGACUGCAUGAAGUUGGAAUCGCUAGUAAUCGUGGAUCAGCCAAGCCGCGGUGAAUACGUUCCCGGGCCUUGUACA